GUGCUCACUUUGGCAGCACAUACAUUAAAAUUGGAAUGAUACAGGGAAGAUUAGCAUGGCCCUGCACGAGGAUGACCUGCAAAUUCAUGAAGCAUUCUGUAUUUCU